rnacentral:tRNA from 1 species
GGUGGCUCAGUGGUAGAGCGCUUGCCUUGCAAGCAUGAGGCCCUGGCUUCGAUUCCUCAGCACCA